CCACAAAGAUAGCAACGGUAUGUUUGUUUGUGGAUUUACAAAGUUCAGGGGCCCUAACAAAAUCUACAAAUGACCUAGUAAAAUCUAGUGAAUUCCUGGCAAAUGUUUGAUACCAGUUUCGUAGUCAUAGCCAUGCUGGUGACAACUUAAAGGACAUAAAAAAUGUGAAAUGUAAAAGAAGAUAGAUGGAUUUUGAAGACGAACCACAGUCCAAAAAAAUAUGAACAUACUGAAUAAUUCUUCCGUUUUAACGGUUAAUAUAACUAACACUUAUAAUAUUAUUAUGGUUGAUGCCACAACCGAAUGUAAGAUUCGUUGGCUGAGCCAGCUACAAACAAUAAACCCGUUCGCGUUGUUGCAGAGAAUUCAGCUCCGGUUUAUCCUACAAUAUUAAUGAUUUCAUUGGUCAAGCCACAAUAAACGCGUUCGAGUUGUUGAAAAGUCAGCUCCGGUUCAUAUACCUAAGAAACGUCAUUGAAAAUUAUAAAUGUUAAUGAAAUUACGUUUAAUGUACACAGUCGCUGUUAUUUAAUAUUUAUAAUUGGCAGUGUUCGGAUUAGAUAAGUAUUUUAUUUAUCUAGAUAAAGAUAAAGAUAAUGCAACUCAAAUGUAUCUAUAGAUAGAUAUAAAAGAUAACUUAACUCAUAUUUAUCUAGAUAAAGAUAAAUACAUUUUUAUCUACAUAAAAAAGAUACAAUUUUUUUUUAAAUGGGUUUUAAAUGUAGGAAUAUUUUAGUUGGGCACUAGGAACAUAAUAAUAAUAAUGAUAUAAAUAAAA